rnacentral:lncRNA from 1 species
CGCACACGCCACGCGCUGCGAGAUCGAUGUCCGGAGCUGCGGGGGUGCAGCUCCGCCAGGCUCUCCGCGUUUAGCCCUCAGGCUGCAAGGCCAGAGGCGAUCCGGGAUCCUCAAUUAGAGCGCCCACCUCGUGCCCAGCUCUGAGCUAAACAAGAAAGAAGCAGAAAAUGCCGCUGAGGUCCACGUCCACAGCUCUUGCUGAGCUGAAAGUGAGGGUUUCUACAAAAGCCUUCUGCUGCCCUUGUCACACCGGAUAUUCUUGGACUGCUAAUGAGAAGCUUCGUAAUAACUUUCCCCAAAUGCACUCCUUACCCAAGAGCCUUCUGUUCUUAGCUUUGGUAGCCCAUUGGGAGUUUCAUUUCUCCACAGUGUUCUCCUCGGAGCCCAAGGACGAACCACCACUGACCUACGUUCCCAGACCUUUUCAUUUCUUAGUUUGAGACAGACUCAAGCUGAAUUGCUCAGGCUGGCCUGGAACUCGGAAUGCUCCUGCCUCAGCCACCUGUGUAGCUGGAAUUCCAGGCGCUGGUCCAGCAGGAUUUCUUCCUGACCGGCAAGGCCCUUUAAGCCCUUUUCCCAUUUCCUAGACUACUAACCAAGGCCAGGCUGAGGCGUCUCCCUGACUUUUCUCCCAAUUCCGGAUAACUGGAUCUUACCAAUUUAUUUAUUCAGAAAAUUGACAUGUCUCCAUUCGGGAGAAACAAAAAGAUGGAGAAGAAAGGGUCUAGGGUGAGUGGGCCCAAAAGUGGAGCUAGAGCAGGCCAGUCGGUCUCGGCGCUUGCCCAGGGAGUGUAACUCUCACCAAGGUGCCUUAACAGUGUGAACUGCACCACGGAAAGCAUCACCUUCUGUCUUUUUUACCCCAAGAAGUUCUUAUUCUGGAUUCUUAGCAAAUAGUAGAUGCUCUUUAAAGUGUUACAGAUGCCAAAGGAAGUAACUGUACAGCAUUUCAAUUGUUAAGCGCAUGAACCAAGAAUAGAACUCCUUUUUAUUUUGUUCAUUCAUUAAAUAAGUUUCAGGUAAAAAACCUUUUAUUUUCCUUAGGUAGUACACUCAUUCAGCACUUAUAUGGGUAGGGCCUACAAAAUAGCAGUACAGUCAUAAAGACUUUGUAUAAAUUCACCUAAUCCUCACAACCUGUAGGGUACUAUUAUUAUCUAAACUAUAUAGAUGAGAUGAAGAGAAGUUAAAUAACGGCCCAACAUGUACAAACCUACAAGUAGAAAAUGCAAAAUAAGAACACAGGCAGUCAGCAUUUAUGUUUUUAAACACUCCGUGUACUCUCUUGUGCUACCUAGAAACUAUGCAGAGGAUGGUAAUUCCGCUUUGGACUUUGAGGAGCUACUCAUGGCUUAACCAAGGUAAAAGGCAUUAAAUAAAUAAUCAGUGUAAUUUGAAGACAAUAUGAAUGGUUGGGAAUGAAAACAAUAUUUUGGUCAAUGCUAUGUUUGCCAUCAUAAUUAUCACACUAAAAAUAUAUCUUUGAAGAAAAAGAAUUGUAAUGUGAUUAAGUUGAAUAAAAGUUAUGAAGACACGC